CGUUGCUUGACUUUUUUACAUGACAUGUUGGGCAAAUGCAGAAAGGCAGUGCCUUCUAUCAGUUGGGAGUCAAUUACGAGAAGCGGGCUUUUUGAAGGAGGAAGGAUUUGAACAGGAAGCUGCAGAUGUAUAAGGAAGAGCUGGAAAGACGACUUCUGGGGAGAGAGUGACAGAAAUCCUGCACAGGUACCAUGACCUUGAGAAUCGAAUCUGCUCUAGAUCGGAAGUUCUCAAGAAAAUAGUGUUUCCAGGUCACUAGGGGGGCAUUUUCUGAACGAUACAAUGUAUCCUUUCCUCUCUAAGGGGUUCUGAUAGGUUAAGUGCAUUUUGGAAAAAAAGAAGUCCUUACAAAGUCUGGAUGCCCCCCACUUCCUCCUCUUCAUCUCUCUUCAGGGUGAACCUCCAGGAUUCAGUGGUUUGCUCUGUGUUGUGGGGCUGACAUUCAAGGUCAAGUGCUGACCCCCAGUGUCUCAGAAUGUGAGUGUAUUUGGGCCUCUAAAGACUGAAUCAGGGUGAAAUGAGGGCCCAGAUGGGAGGCCUGAAUCCAGUAUGACUGGCGUCUUUCUAAGAAGAACCGAUCGAGACAUAAGCACAAAGAGAAGACCAUGUGAAGAGCCAGCGAGAAGUCCAAUCUCUGUGAGCCUCAGCAAGAGGCCCCAGGAGAAGCCAGCCCUGCCAGAGCUUGGGCCUUGGACUUCCAGCCUCAGGACUGUGAGGAAAACACAUUCCUGUUGUCUAAGCCACCCGGCCUGUGGUGCUUUGUUAUGGCAGCCCCGACAAGCUGAGCAGCUCCGUGCCGCUGCACCAGUAGUUUAGGUCCAGAGAGCUUCGCUGGUGUUGGGAGCAUGAGAGCUGGCAGGCAGGUCAGGGAAGAAUCCAGGGCACUGUGAGGAACCCAAGAGAAGAACGUUCUGGCAAUGCUGAUGCAAAGUCCAGAAGUUCAGGCUGCCAAGCCUUCAUCCACCUUCAUUCCCAAGCUUAAUUUCCUUUGGAAAACUAACAAUUAGUUUUUAAGAGUCAGCUAAUACUAGAAUGCUUAUGAAGGAAUCAGCCCUGCCCUGCCCUGCCGUCACCCUCCUCCCCCGCAGCAAGCAGCUGCGGCUUUGCUGGCUGUGUCCUCUACUGGUAACUUCAUCUUGUGAAUAAUAUGCCUAUAUUCUUAUUUUAUUCACUCAAUGAAUAUUUAAUGAGGUGCAGUUCUAGCUGCAGGUUCCCAGCAGUGAACAAAACAGGCCACAUUCACUUUUCCCAGAGAGCUGACAUUUCGUCGGAGGAGGAACACAAUGAUUGUGUAGGAUGUGAUUGUGGUACAGUAAAACAUUCAAAGUCAGGAUGCAUGUUUGAACCAAAACACACAUGAGAAAAACUGCAUUUAGGCGAGGGAGUGACUCAUAGGAUAUCUGAGGGUGAAGAGCGCAGGUAAUGUGAACACACAUACAAAGCCCCUCAGAUGGGAGCGCUUCAGAUGUGUUGUAGAAACAAGAAGAGCACGAAAGCAGAGUGAGCAGGGCUGAGCAGCCGGCGGUGUGGCCAGAGAACACAGGUGUGCCUGGGAACAGGUGGUGUAGGGCUCUGUGCCCAUCAGAGCUCUCAGCUUUCACCCUGAGUGAUGGAGCCUUGGGGAGGUUUAGAACAGGGAGGCACGAGAUGCAGAACAGAGUGACAUUUCAAGAGAGAGCCCCCCUGGCUCCUGGGGUGAGAAUAGAUGGGAGGAGGCAGGGCUGAGAAGGAGCGGGAGGGGGCUGUGGUCACAGCACUGUCCAGAGGGUGAGAAGUGGGGAGUAUUUUGAAAGCACAGCUGCCAAAAUUUGCUGAUAAAUUGGCUGUAGGGUGCAUGGGAAAGGGGGGUGCCAGGGAUGACUCCAAUCCUUUUGGUCUGAAGAACUGAACAAUGGUGGUUCUACUGACAAAGGCUGGCACACUGUUAUGAGAGCAGAUUAAAGAGGGAACAAUGUAGCAGUUGCCUUAGUUGACAGCCUUAGUUUACCCUGCUGUCAUGACAUGAUUAUCAGCAGCUUCCUGUCAAUCUCAGGAGAGCCCCUGCUUGGCUGAUGCAUUCUGGUCACUGUCCUGCAGGCAGUUGAGCGGGACUCUACUAGGGGCAGACCUUCAGAUCCUUCAACAGCUCUGUCAUUUGGCCAUCAAAUUAAGAUUAAUAAAGUAAAAUGCAUCACUUCCAUUUUUCAUGAGAGAUUUCAUUCCAGAGAACACCAUUUAUUUACGUAUUUAGCAACUACAGUGAGCGUUGUAGGUGCCAGGCACUGUUCUCGGCAGGUUGUCCAUACUAACUCACUUUAU